AACGCACAUUGCGCCUGCCAGUAUUCUGGCAGGCAUGCCUGUCCGAGCGUCAUUUCAACCCUCAGGCCUCGCCUGGCGUUGGGGACCUGCGCCUGCAGCCCCCGAAAGACAGCGGCGGUCUCGUACCGGCUCUGAGCGUAGUAGCAUACGUCGCUCUUGGGUCGGGGCGGGCUCCGGCCGUAAAACCCCCAUCUUACAAAGGUUGACCUCGGAUCAGGUAGGAAUACCCGCUGAACUUAA
rnacentral:misc_RNA from 2 species